AAGCUUGCUUUUGAUGCUUAGUGGCGGACGGGUGAGUAACGCGUGAGCAACCUGCCUUUCAGAGGGGGAUAACGUUUGGAAACGAACGCUAAUACCGCAUAACAUAUCUGGGUCGCAUGAUUGAGAUAUCAAAGGAGCAAUCCGCUGAAAGAUGGGCUCGCGUCCGAUUAGCUAGUUGGCGGGACAACAGCCCACCAAGGCGACGAUCGGUAGCCGGACUGAGAGGUCGAACGGCCACAUUGGGACUGAGACACGGCCCAGACUCC
rnacentral:rRNA from 1 species